rnacentral:tRNA from 1 species
GGGGGAGUCGCCAAGGUGGUUAAGGCAUCGGAUUUUGAUUCCGAUAUUCGCAGGUUCGAGUCCUGCCUCCCCUG